GACACCUAGAGAGAAGCACAGAAGGGCCUGAGGAGGAACGCCACGACUCGCUUCAGCCGUCGGUGGUUCUGGGUGCGGGUCCCGUGGUGAGGCGGGGCGGUGCUCGGCGCACCUGGAGCGCAAUCGGCCACGGCGGCAGGCAGGCUGGGUUUCCUAGCCAGUAACUGCAGGGGUUUGGUGCCUCACCCCAGACAGUCGCCAGCUGCUUAACCCUGGGCACGAUACCUGAGCUCUCCGAGCUUUCAGCCUCUAUGGGGAGGGUAACACAGCAUCUACCCCGUGAGUUUACGGGGAGGAUUGAGUGAAGCAUUCAAGCUCUUGGCCCAGCCUUUAAAGUAAUCCUAAGCAUCCAACAAAGGAAAGCUUCUGUGAUUUUACCGCUUGGUUAGAGCAUUUUUGGCAGAAUAUUUGUUCUCAGGGCGUCAAACUAAGGGACAGAACAGGUAUUAGAUACAAUUCCUACUCUCAAAGAAUUUAUAGUGUUUAGCUAGGGGUUUAAGACGCAGACUUGGCUGGGCAUGGUGGCUCAUGCCUGUAAUCCCAGCCCUUUGGGAGGCUGAGGCAGGAGGAUCAUUUGAGGCCAGGAGUUCGAGGCUGCAGUGAACUAUGAUUGUGUUGCUGUACUCCAGCUUUGGUGACGGAGCAAGACCCUGUCUCAGGAAGAAAAACAAAAAGGACAUAAAAGGCACAGACUAAUGAGAAGAUGGCUCAUGACAGUUCAAGAUGCGGUAUAAGCCAGAGUUCCAGGCCACCGCUUUGAGAUUUCCUCGUUUCCCUGGGUAUCUCUCAUGUAUAGGCGAUGAAUGAGAUGACGGAUGAAGCAGCACUGAGCCUAUCGCCUGGCGCUCCAUAGGUGCUCGGUAAACAUAGUGAUCGCUAUUCUCAUGAAACACGUUGCUCCCUCGUCCUGAACAACAGAGCAAUGCCCUUUUUGCUGGCUCACUCCACCUGAGCAUCAUCGCCUCUGGAAAGGCAUCCCUGGGCCCUCCUAGUGGAUCAAGGUGCCCCUCUGCCUCCACAUGGCCUCUUACAGCACCCACCACAGUGUUUCAGGACCACCCCCUACCUGUCAGUCUCUUCUUCUGGACUAUGGAGGCUCUGAGGGAAAAGACAAUGUCUUAUUUUGUCAGUAAGCAGCACCGUUUCCCGCUAAAUGCUCAAAAUGUGCCUGGAGGGAAUGACUCAACUUUGAAAGCCGUCACUACCGAAUUCUACAGCCUGUCUUCAGUACGUUUCUUCCAGUUUUAUUUUUUAAAAGUUACCUGUCCUGGGAGCAGUGGUAGGAGAUAUGGGUCGUUCAGAUGGGGUGGACCCAGAAAGGGCUGUGCUAGUGGGAGGUGUUGGGAAGCUGUGCUCCGUACUCCCCGCGGUGACUGUGAGCACUGGGCUUUUCUCCACGGUGGCUGGGCUGAGCUCCAGGCUUGCUGGAGGAGGACUAUGGGAAGGCAUUAGAACCUAAGAGAUCAAUUACAAAGAUAAAUAGUUACAAAACAACAACAACAACAGUUCAAUUCUUCCAGCAACUCAGUGUUACCAACCUUUUUCAUAAAUCAGCUUCAGUCAUGUUUGAAAUGCCAUGAAUAAUAUUCCAAAACUCUCAAGUACACUCUUUGCCGUCUAUUAGAAAUAUAAGGCAACUCUGGGUUGGACGAUUAGUUCAGGUAAACACACAAACACUCAAAAUAAAGAAUGAGAGGGUACUUACAGAAGCCCCUAAACUAAUCAGUUCACCGGACGAAUGUUUCUGCCCCACACCUCCCCCCACACCCCACAGAUUCAUUUCUUGAAAUCUGAACCCUCCAUGUUGUAGUAUUUGGAGGUGAGGCCUUUGAGAAGCAAUGAGAUUAUGAGGGUAAAUCCUUCAUAAAUGGGACUAGUGCCCGUCUAAGAAGAGGAGAGACAGCUAGCUAGUUCUCUUUCCACCAUGUCAGGACACAGCAAAAAGAUGACUAUCCACAAACCAAGAAACCCUCACAAGAACCCAACGCUGCUGGCGUCCUGAUCUCAGACCUCCAAACGUUAGGACUGUGAGUUACACACAGUUAGGCCACCGAGGUCAUGGUUGAUAUGGCUAGGUUUUGUGCCCUCACCCAAAUCUCAUCUUGAAUUAUAAUCCCCAUGUGUCAAGGAAGAGACCAGAUGGAGGAAACUGGAACAUGGAGAUGGUUUCCUCCAUGCUGUUCUUGCGAUAGUGAGUUCUCACGAGAUCUGGUGGUUUUAUAAGCAUCUGCAAUGUCCCUGCUUGCUCUCUCUCACCUGCUGCCAUGACUGCAAGUUCCCUGAGUCCUCCCAAGCCAUCCAGAACUGUGCGUCAAUUACAACCCUUUCCUUUGUAAAUCACCUAGUCUUGGGUGUGUCUUCAUAGCAGUGUGAGAAUGGACUAAUUCAAUGUAUUUCACUGCAGCAGCACAAGCUAAGACAACCCCUAAAGCCACAAGUGAAGACAAUCAAAUAGUUCAACAGUCAACAGGCUGCUAGAGUAAAUCAUCUUUAUUCAUUUUAUCCAUUACGUAUAACCAACAACUUACAGGUACAGAGUUAGUCAAGUUAAAGUUUUUUAAUUAAAUAGUGUGUGCCAGGGGGAAAAUUCGCAUCAUGUGAUAAUAAAAUACCUUGUGAGACUUAGAGUCAGUAACUGUGUGGAGCCAGGUAAGUAAAAUUCCUAGAUAAGAGUACAGAAGACCCACCGAGGUCAUGCACGUGAGAAACCCACAGAAAGCAAAGCUGUAAUCCAAAUGGAAAUCAGAGAGGGGGCAUCGGUGCUAACUGAACGACACUCCUCUUGUCUACAGUUGAGAAGAGGGAGGAAGGAUACAGCAUAAAUUUUGUGCUUGGAGGUGUGAUCCCUGGUGUCGCCACUAAUGGUAACUGAGCUCCCACUGGGUUCCAGAUAUUUACUGGGCAACUGGUGAAACCUUCUGCGACUGAAGCUCCAGAACCAAGGCGGAAAAAAAAGAUGAAAUAAUGAAAUUAAGCUGUCUGAUCAAACUACGAGAAACCAGCUGACCUGCAUGUUAAAGUCAGGUAGUGGGUCCACGAUGCCAUUUUAAGAUGUUUGAUGUAACUGAGUUUUCAGGCAUCUGGCUUUGUGAAGUGAGUGCUAUGGAUUAAGCUGUGACGCUCUAAGAAUAGUAUGAAAUUUGGAGUUACUACAAACCAGGGCCGCAGAAUAAUGUAUGCACAGCAUUUUAGACUGGGCACUCUGCAAAUCCCAGGGGAUAAACCAAGGGGUUUUUUUGGUUUGUUUUUUUGUUUUUAGUUUUAUGAAGUCCUGAAAAAUUACUGCCAAGCUGAACUAAGGAAUGAAGGCAGACAGUGAUCAGAGAAAUUAAGGUACCUUGGGUCGAGGCCACUAAGCCAGAAAUGGCCGAGGGGGAAGAAAACCCUUGUCCUGCUCUUCUCUACGACAUUCACUUCUCCAGCAUGCUGUGUCUGCAGGCAGGAAUCAGAUGCCAGUUCUUC